GCCCGGCUAGCUCAAUCGGUAGAGCGUGAGACUCUUAAUCUCAAGGCUGCGGGUUCGAUCCCCGCGUUGGGCU
rfam:Diplodia corticola strain CBS 112549 scaffold35, whole genome shotgun sequence.